rnacentral:rRNA from 1 species
GAUGAACGCUGGCGGCGUGCCUAAUACAUGCAAGUCGAGCGAACAGAUGAGGAGCUUGCUCCUCUGACGUUAGCGGCGGACGGGUGAGUAACACGUGGAUAACCUACCUAUAAGACUGGGAUAACUUCGGGCAACCGGAGCUAAUACCGGAUAAUAUAUUGAACCGCAUGGUUCAAUAGUGAAAGACGGUUUUGCUGUCCCUUAUAGAUGGAUCCGCGCCGCAUUAGCUAGUUGGUAAGGUAACGGCUUACCAAGGCGACGAUGCGUAGCCGACCUGAGAGGGUGAUCAGCCACACUGGAACUGAGACACGGUCCAGACUCCUACGGGAGGCAGCAGUAGGGAAUCUUCCGCAAUGGGCGAAAGCCUGACGGAGCAACGCCGCGUGAGUGAUGAAGGUCUUCGGAUCGUAAAACUCUGUUAUUAGGGAAGAACAAAUGUGUAAGUAAAUAUGCACGUCUUGACGGUACCUAAUCAGAAAGCCACGGCUAACUACGUG